rnacentral:rRNA from 1 species
UACUCCUACGGGAGGCAGCAGUAGGGAAUCUUCCGCAAUGGGCGAAAGCCUGACGGAGCAACGCCGCGUGAGUGAUGAAGGGUUUCGGCUCGUAAAACUCUGUUAUUAGGGAAGAACAUAUGUGUAGAGUAACUGUGCACAUCUUGACGGUACCUAAUCAGAAAGCCACGGCUAACUACGUGCCAGCAGCCGCGGUAAU